rnacentral:tRNA from 1 species
CAAAGGAUAGUUUAAUUAAGAUUUCGGCUUUGGGGGCCGGUGAUGGAGGUUGAUGCCUUCUCUUUUGA